AGUCAGACAGGCAGACUGAUAGAUAGAUAGAUAGAUAGAUGAUUGACAGAUAGUCAGACAGGCAGACUGAUAGGUAGAUAGAUAGAUAGACAGAUAAAUAGUUAGAUUAACUGAAUGUGUAACAAAGCAAACAAAAGUUUAAGUUUGAACGAGGAAGACAACGAGAAAAAAUAAAAUAGAAAAGAAAUCACAGGUGUGGGAAAAUAGAAAUUAUAGGGUGAAGGAGAAAAGGUAGAAAAGGAGAAAUAAGUCGCUAUUAUUUAGCCUCAAGUUAGCGCUGAAGGGAAAGGCCUAAUGGCAUUUUGACUAGGUCGAACGACGAGGUGUCUCCAACGGAUCCAGAAUGUGAAACAGUGUUUAUAUGGAGAGAGAGAGAGACGACAUAAUAUAGGAGAGAAAAUAUUAGUAUAGUAUAGAGAGAAAGGAAAAGAGAGACAAGUUAUAACGUGGAAGAGAAAGAGAAAAAGAAAAGUGAGGGAGAGAUAGAAAGACAAGAGUAAGAGAGGGUUAGAAAAAGAAAGACGUGAGAGUGAGAGAGAAAGAUGAGAGAGAGGGAGAAAGAUGAGAGGUAGAAAAAAACACAAGAGAGAGAGGGAGAGAGGGAGAAAAACACAGAAAGAGAGAAAGAAAUAUAAUGCCGGGUAGAAAGACAGAGAGAAAAUAGGGGAGAGACAAAAGGAGAGAAAGAGAGGUGGGAGAAAGAGAGAUAUGAUCAAUGAAAGAGGAGUAGAAUGAAAAAGAACGAGAGAAAGAGAGAGAGAGAGGGCUGCGCGUGUGUUGUGUUGUGUGUGUGUGUGUGUGUGCGUGUGUGUGUGUGUGUGUGCGUGUGUGUAGAAUUCACGUAACGUUACCAUGAAGAGUAUUAGUACAACUAGUAGCUAACAGUUGUAGCAUUAGCUGUCCGUGCGUGUCUGGGAGCUUUACUUAACGACACAACACACGCAUUUAUAUAAAUAUAUAUAUACUUGAAGGUGGACAAACAAGCAGUGAGUGAUUUACCCUAUCUCUUCAAGCAGUUGCUCUCUUGAACACCAUGAUGUUUUGACAAUGAGCAUCGCUGAUUGACAGGUGAGCCAAGGUAGCAGUCUUGUUCAUAGCGCGCCCUCCUACUGGUUCGAAGGCAUGUACCACCAAACAGGAAUUGUCACCACAGACAUUGUUGUCCAACAAACUCGUUAGCUGCUCUGGAGUAAUUCAGAAGAAUUAGCAGUCAAUAUUUUUAGCAUGGGUUAGACGGUUCGACAAGACCAGGAUAAGCUGCAGAGUUGUCAGGCUUUGAAAUGGUUUCUACAGCUGGAUGCCCUUCCUAAUUCUGAAUCUCAUCGUAUGUGACUGUGUGUGUGUGUGUACACGCACAUAUAUGUAUAUAUAUAUAUAUAUGUAUAUAUAUAU